AUCCAGCUGAUGAGUCCCAAAUAGGACGAGAUGCGCAUCCUUGAU
rnacentral:hammerhead_ribozyme from 1 species